AUAUCAAUAAGCGGAGGAAAAGAAACUAACAAGGAUUCCCUUAGUAACUGCGAGUGAAGCGGGAAAAGCUCAAAUUUGAAAUCGGGCAGUUUUCAACUGUCUGAAUUGUAAUCUAAAGAAGUGUUAUCCGUGCUGGACCAUGUACAAGUCCCUUGGAACAGGGUAUCAAAGAGGGUGACAAUCCCGUACUUGACACGACAACCAGUGCUCUGUGAUACGUCUUCUACGAGUCGAGUUGUUUGGGAAUGCAGCUCAAAAUGGGUGGUGAAUUCCAUCUAAAGCUAAAUAUUGGCGAGAGACCGAUAGCGCACAAGUA
rnacentral:rRNA from 1 species